rnacentral:rRNA from 1 species
GAUGAACGCUGGCGGCGUGCCUAAUACAUGCAAGUCGAGCGAACGGACGAGAAGCUUGCUUCUCUGAUGUUAGCGGCGGACGGGUGAGUAACACGUGGAUAACCUACCUAUAAGACUGGGAUAACUUCGGGAAACCGGAGCUAAUACCGGAUAAUAUUUUGAACCGCAUGGUUCCAAAGUGAAAGACGGUCUUGCUGUCACUUAUAGAUGGAUCCGCGCUGCAUUAGCUAGUUGUUAAGGUAACGGCUUACCAAGGCAACGAUGCAUAGCCGACCUGAGAGGGUGAUCGGCCACACUGGAACUGAGACACGGUCCAGACUCCUACGGGAGGCAGCAGUAGGGAAUCUUCCGCAAGGGGCGAAAGCCUGACGGAGCAACGCCGCGUGAGUGAUGAAGGUCUUCGGAUCGUAAAACGCUGUUAUUAGGGAAGAACAUAUGUGUAAGUAACUGUGCACAUCUUGACGGUACCUAAUCAGAAAGCCACGGCUAACUACGUG